CAGUCGCCGCGGUAAUACGAAGGGUGCAAGCGUUAAUCGGAAUUACUGGGCGUAAAGCGUGCGCAGGCGGUUUGUUAAGACAGAUGUGAAAUCCCCGGGCUCAACCUGGGAACUGCAUUUGUGACUGGCAAGCUAGAGUGUGGCAGAGGGGGGUGGAAUUCCGCGUGUAGCAGUGAAAUGCGUAGAUAUGCGGAGGAACACCGAUGGCGAAGGCAGCCCCCUGGGCCAACACUGACGCUCAUGCACGAAAGCGUGGGGAGCAAACAGGAUUAGAUACCCCGGUAGUCCCUGUCUCUUAUAC
rnacentral:rRNA from 1 species